rnacentral:rRNA from 1 species
CCUACGGGCGGCAACAGUGAGGAAUAUUGGUCAAUGGACGAGAGUCUGAACCAGCCAAGUAGCGUGAAGGAUGACUGCCCUAUGGGUUGUAAACUUCUUUUAUAUGGGAAUAAAAUGUUCCACGUGUGGGAUUUUGUAUGUACCAUAUGAAUAAGGAUCGGCUAACUCCGUGCCAGCAGCCGCGGUAAUACGGAGGAUCCGAGCGUUAUCCGGAUUUAUUGGGUUUAAAGGGAGCGUAGGUGGAUUGUUAAGUCAGUUGUGAAAGUUUGCGGCUCAACCGUAAAAUUGCAGUUGAAACUGGCAGUCUUGAGUACAGUAGAGGUGGGCGGAAUUCGUGGUGUAGCGGUGAAAUGCUUAGAUAUCACGAAGAACUCCGAUUGCGAAGGCAGUUCACUGGACUGCAACUGACACUGAGGCUCGAAAGUGUGGGUAUCAAACAGGAUUAGAUACCCGGGUAGUC